UACGGGGGGGGCAAGCGUUGUUCGGAAUUACUGGGCGUAAAGGGCUCGUAGGUGGCCAACUAAGUCAGACGUGAAAUCCCUCAGCUUAACUGGGGAACUGCGUCUGAUACUGGAUGGCUUGAGUUUGGGAGAGGGACGCGGAAUUCCAGGUGUAGCGGUGAAAUGCGUAGAUAUCAGGAGGAACACCGGUGGCGAAGGCGGCUUUCUGGACAGAUACCGACGCUGAGGCACGAAAGCUAGGGGAGCAAACAGG
rnacentral:rRNA from 1 species